GCGGAGGAAAAGAAACCAACAGGGAUUGCCUCAGUAACGGCGAGUGAAGCGGCAACAGCUCAAAUUUGAAAUCUGGUCCCCUCUGGGGGCCCGAGUUGUAAUUUGAAGAGGAUGCUUUUGGCGAGGCGCCUUCCGAGUGCCCUGGAACGGGACGCCACAGAGGGUGAGAGCCCCGUAUGGUAGGACGCCGAGCCUCUGUAAAGCUCCUUCGACGAGUCGAGUAGUUUGGGAAUGCUGCUCAAAAUGGGAGGUAAACCCCUUCUAAAGCUAAAUAUUGGCCAGAGACCGAUAGCGCACAAGUAGAGUGAUCGAAAGAUGAAAAGCACUUUGAAAAGAGAGUUAAACAGCACGUGAAAUUGUUGAAAGGGAAGCGCUUGCGACCAGACUUGCGCCCGUCGGAUCAACCGUCCCUCGUGGGCGGCGCACUCCGGCGGGCUCAGGCCAGCAUCAGUUUUCCUGGGGGGAGAAAGGCGGUGGGAAUGUAGCUCUUCGGAGUGUUAUAGCCCGCCGCGUAAUGCCCUCGGGGGGACUGAGGACCGCGCGUAUGCAAGGAUGCUGGCGUAAUGGUCGUCAGCGACCCGUCUUGAAACACGGACCAAGGAGUCGUCCUAAUAUGCGAGUGUACGGGUGUAAAACCCCUGCGCGUAAUGAAAGUGAACGGAGGUGAGAGCUUCGGCGCAUCAUCGACCGAUCCUGAUGUUCUCGGAUGGAUUUGAGUAAGAGCAUAUUGGGCCGGACCCGAAAGAAGGUGAACUAUGCCUGUAUAGGGUGAAGCCAGAGGAAACUCUGGUGGAGGCUCGCAGCGGUUCUGACGUGCAAAUCGAUCGUCAAAUAUGGGCAUGGGGGCGAAAGACUAAUCGAACCUUCUAGUAGCUGGUUUCCGCCAAU
rnacentral:sRNA from 1 species